rnacentral:rRNA from 1 species
AGGACGAACGCUGGCGGCGUGCUUAACACAUGCAAGUCGAGCGGUAAGGCCCUUUCGGGGAUACACGAGCGGCGAACGGGUGAGUAACACGUGAGUAAUCUGCCCUCCACUUGGGGAUAAGCUUCGGAAACGGGGUCUAAUACCUGAUACGACAGCUACCUGCAUGGGUUGGUUGUGGAAAGUUUUUUCGGUGGGGGAUGUGCUCGCGGCCUAUCAGCUUGUUGGUGGGUAAUGGCCUACCAAGGCUUCGACGGGUAGCCGGCCUGAGAGGGUGACCGGCCACACUGGGACUGAGACACGGCCCAGACUCCUACGGGAGGCAGCGAGUGGGGAAUAUUGGACAAGUGGGCGGAAGCCUGAUCCAGCAACGCCGCGUGAGGAUGACGGCCUUGGUUGUAAACCGUCUUUCAGUACCGACGAAGCGCCGUUGUGGUGGUGACGGUAGGUACAGAAGAAGCACCGGCCAACGUACGU